AUUUAAAUAGUUUAAAAAAAAUAUUGAUUUGUGAAAUCAAUGAUAUAAAUA
rnacentral:tRNA from 1 species